UUCCUUGUCCUCUAAAGUCUUGGA
rnacentral:siRNA from 1 species